AAAUGAAAAAAGAAACACUUUUCGUAGUCACUUUGGCGACGCUUCUAGAAGUAUCGCCGAAGUCACUCCUGGAAGUGUCGUCAAAGUAACUUCUAGAAACUUCACAUUUCUUUACGACGGGAGUCACUUCUGCGAUCCGAAUGUGAUACCGCGAACGAUAGUUUCACUUAGAAGUGUCAUCCGCGAUUGAAAAUACUUACAGGCAGUUUAUUCCUCCAAAAUGUUGUUCUGAAUGUCGUGAUGACACCAGAAAGUGUAGGUGAUUAAUAUUCUAAUUUAAUCCUCCAGAUAGAUUAGCGUUUCCGGCUUCAUGAAGUGAAUAUAUUCUUUAUCAGGAUCACCAGCCUAGUCGAUCUAGACAUGUCCGUUGUUCGUCCGUCUACCUAUCCAUCCGUAUGAACGCUGAGAUCUCGGAAACUUCAAAAGCUAGAACGUUGCAGAUUCUUGAGCUUCUUGCGAACCGCUUUCAAACGCCCACAAUCCGCGAAUAACCGUACCGCCUACAGUUGUUACGCUAUAAAAAAAGUUAUCUGAAAUGUAUUUGUCUCAUCAAUACCUAUCUAUUGACCUAAAAAAUGUUUGCCACGCUCACUUUAAUGCCCAAAAACAGACAAAAUCUGUCUGCCGCCUACAUAGCAUACACUGAAAUAGCGGAUAGGUGGCGCUUUGCAAUCGCUUUGCUGCUUUCCUAUUUUAUUUUGCUCCUUCAAUCUAAGUUAAGGGUAUCUCGUCUAAAGCGUUCUUCCUUGUUUUGUCUAGUAAUUGUGUUAAGUUGUUAUAAAAAUUAAAAAUGUUUGAUUUAGUAACAACUUUUUGCCAGUUAAAAUUUAUAUUUUUUGCAUACUCAGGUAUGUUACAGGUAUCACCGAGAUUUGAGUUAAUAACUUUUAAUAUAUUUUAUAAAACACUAUAAGAUGUAUAAUUUACCAUCAAUUUAUUAAGAACUUUAAUACUUUUGGCUUUCUACCUGGAAAUAUUUUAAUAAUCACUAGACGGUACGAUAAUGCCAUGUCAGUGUGUCCGUCCGUUUCUACGCAAACUAGUCUCUUAGUUUUAAAGGUGUCGUUCUCAAACUUUCCCAAAAGUCUUCUGUCUUUUGCAGGUAGUAUAUAAGUGGGAAGAAUACGGAUCGGUCACAUAUCUCAUGGCUCCCAUAGGAAUAAUCGUAUCGGACAACUAUAUCAUAAGACUGCCAUAGCUUUUUGGUGUUUUCGGACAUAUCACUGUGGGCGGCUUUCCACGUAGUGACGAAGUGGAACAGGAGAGUGUGCAAAGGCGACCAAUAUAUGUAAACGAAGAUAUUAAAAUCUACAGUAAUCGUCCAAUAGUUUCGAGUGAUGGCCAUAAUUUUCAUGCUAGAAAUUUAUUUUUUCGUUAAAAUGUAUUUGUCUCAUUAAAACCUUUAGAUUGACCUAAACAAAUUUUUGCCACGCCUACUUUAACGCCCACAAAUGGCUAAAACGCUUAAAACUGUCUGCCACAUAAAACAUAUGCAUAACAUAACAUAUACCGAAAAGCCGAUAGGUGGCGAUUUCCAAUAUUUCUUUGCUGCUUAAAUAUCUCAAUUUUUAAUUUACUUCCUCAAUGAGUAACGGUUAGUGGAGGCACUCGACUAUAGCGUUCUUCCUUGUUUGUUUUCAAGAUUUCAAAUUUAAUGUAAUAAGCUUUCUUAUAUUUUCAGCAGCCAUCUCGCUCGUUCUUAUUAUAAUAACCUUAUGGCGUUUAUAUUUCUGAGUUACUUAACAUUCUGUUAGGAAAUAUAUAAUUAGAAAAGAAAACGUAUGUCAGAUUCCGAUCAAUACAAGCGAGUCAAAGCGAUGGACACUAACGAAAAUUUUCUAAUAGAAGCCUCGGUCGAACAAAGAAUUCCACAAUUACAUACAUGAUCUAGAAUUAGUUUAAUAGGUCCAGAUAUAUUAAGUACUCUUCCGUGGCAUGAAACAAGCCCCAAAGUAAUAUUUACAAUGAUAGGAAAUGUAAUUAUGGGUACUGUACGGGAAAUAAACGCCAAACCUUUAACUGGAAAACCUGGAAAACUACAACUUUGUAUCCAAGAUUUUUCAACAAAAUAUGAUAUUUUGAUUGGAAGAGAUAUAAUAUAUAAACAUCGAUAAAGAAUAUGAAAAGUUAAAUAACAAAAUUUUUAAUUUCACCUCUAAAAAACCAAGUUACAAUAUAAACUUACCAAGCGAUAAUUCGCUUUCGAUAAAUAUAAUACCCCUUUAUCCGACGCAUUGGUCCAUACUAUUGUUCUCUGCUGUAAUCUAUAUAAGCUAGUGUUU